CAGGCGGACUGCACAGGAAGCUCUUGCAUGCCCUCUCUCCUGCCACACAAGAGGGAUGACAGGCAGAUCUGCAACCAAGUUGGGCUCUAAGUCAUUAAGAAAUCUGCCCCCAAGGAACGAAAUACAUGCCUAGUUUCAGAUUUUGUUUUUUGCAUGGGUCCUGAGUCAGUGUCUUCCCCAGCUGAAAGAAUGCACUGUCCUCAUGCCCCCACGAAAGGCACUCCUGCAAGGAAAGCAGAUCAACAGCCGGCGGGGAUGUUUAUUAUGAACCAAACUUUGGAAACUUCAGAUGUCUUGCCUGUGUAAGUCAUACACUGAGAGUGACCAAACAGGCAGAUUAGACUUUAGAAUACAGACAUCAAGAUGGCCUGCGGUUGGCUGUGCAUGUUCCAGCUGGGCUCACUGGGAAUACUAUCUCGAUUUCUGACAUCGUGGCAGGCAUCCGAGGAACCAGCGAGCUGUCUCGGAAGUCCAGGUCCCCAGACUUCUGGGUCUGUUAAGCUCAUUUUCUUCCCUUUGAUCCCUGGCUCCAGGAGUGGAUGGAAGCUGCUUCCUGAAGUUACUAUCUCUAGAAAACAUUGCUGAUCAUUUGAAGAAACAAGUAUUAGACCAAACGUGGGAUGUUUGUUAUAUGUCCUGUUUCAUAGCGCAAUUGGCUUUAUCCUGUCUCAGUUUAUGAAUGAACUUUACGCCAAAAGGGGCUAAACAAAUGUUUGUGAGAAGACACUGGUGUCUAAGGUAGGUGCAGCCUUUUCUUUGCCCAUGUGUAUAUCAAGGCCAACAUAAAUACAUGCACAUCAAUUAUGUGGCUUUCACAAAAUAUUACUUAACAAUGAAAGAGUUAAAAAAUAUCUAGAUCUGGAAAGAUGGAAUGAAUCUAACAAGACCAAACUCAACGGGCAAAAAUGUUAUGCCAUAAAGUUUGGGUCAGUACUUUAACUGCCCAAAUAUGGAUGAUCA
ensembl:lncRNA